AGGAAUUGCAGGAGAGGCUUGAAUUGAAAGAGGGUUUGGUUAAGGAUUUGCAGUCAGAAGUUUCGGCUUUGAAGGUGGAGCUGGAUAAGGCGCAUAGCUUGAAUAAAGAGCUAGAGNNNNNNNNNAGAAGCUGGCGCUGGAUCUUUCGGCUGCUGAGGCCAAGAUUGCAGCUUUUAACACUCGUGACCAGGAGUCAAAUGGAGAGUACAAGAGCCCUAAAUUUAAGGACAUUCAGAAACUCAUUGCAAACAAAUUGGAACAUUCAACAGCUAAAAAGGAGGCAUACAAUGAGCCAACGGCACUCAAAACGCCGGUUCCACCACCACCACCACCACCACCUGUCAAUCUGCUACCCAAAGCUGCCAAUGCUGAAAGAAAGUCUCCAUGUUGUCCUUCCUUGCCGCCGCCACCACCACCACUCCCAAUGAGGCCACUAGUCAGAGCGGCCUCUGCUCCAAAAACUUCUGCAAUUGUAGAAUUCUAUCACUCCUUGAGAAAGCAAGAGGAGAAGAGAGAUAUUCCAGGACCAGGGAAUCAGUAUAAACCAGCCGUGACAAGUGCACACAGCAGCAUAGUUGGAGAGAUUCAAAAUCGUUCAGCUCAUCUGUUAGCUAUAAAAGCUGAUGUCCAAACAAAAGGUAAUUUCAUCAAUGGACUUAUCCAAAAAGUAUUAGCUGUGGCAUAUACAGAUAUUGAAGAUGUCCUUAAAUUUGUGGAUUGGCUUGACGGUGAACUCUCAACAUUGGCUGAUGAGCGGGCUGUGUUAAAGCAUUUCAAUUGGCCAGAGAAGAAAGCUGAUGCCAUUAGAGAAGCGGCUAUUGAGUAUCGUGCACUGAAACUAUUAGAAAGUGAGAUAUGUUCCUUUAAAGAUGAUACUGACAUUCCAUGUGGAACUGCCUUGAAAAAGAUGGCUGUCUUGCUUGACAAGUCUGAGCGAAGCAUUGGAAGGCUGACCAAACUUCGAAACUCAGUUUUGCGCUCUUACGAGGAUUGGAAAAUUCCAACAAAUUGGAUGCUUGAUUCUGGAAUAGUGAGCAAGAUCAAGCAUGCUUCUAUGAAGCUGGCGAAGAUGUACAUGAGGAGAGUGAUAAUGGAGCUUGAAUUGGCGCGAAAUUCAGAUAGGGAAUCCAAUCAAGAAGCAUUGGUCCUUCAAGGUGUGCACUUUGCAUAUAGGGCACAUCAGUUUGCUGGGGGUCUUGAUUCAGAAACGUUAUGCGCUUUUGAAGAGAUAAGGAGGCGAGUUCCAGGACACCUAGGAGGAUCUCGAGAGCUAUUAGCUGCUGUAGCAUCAUCAUGACAAGGCAGAUAGCAGAUAAGAUGAACUUCUUUUAGAGGCAGUUUAGAUUUUUAUAAGGAUGUCUGUGA
rnacentral:misc_RNA from 1 species